AGCCCCAGUGCUAUCAGGGGCUCCCUGUGGGUCCCAGGAGGAGAGAGACCGAACCCCAGGGGUUGGAGCUGCUGCUGCUGGAACUGCCCGUCUGUGUCCCCAGGCAGUCCUGGGGGCAUCAUCCAAAGGGUGGGUAAGUGUGCUACUAUCAGCCCGGAUGCAUGGGAACAGGUUAAAAACGCCAGGUGCUGAGGGAAACUAUGGCCUGAAGGGGAAGUCCAGCCUCAUAAAUGGCUUUAGCGAAGGAUCACUCCUUUGGAGGAGUCUCAGGGGCUAAGGGAGGCUACCCGCUUCUCCUCAGAGCAGCUUGCUCAGGAAAGUGAGUCAGCUUCCACAGAAAGUGAUUAAAUCCUGUGGGGGACCGAGGGCCUGCGCCCAGCCUGUGCAGGAGUGCACCCAAAAAGAGGUUGGUGAGCCAGAUGAUGGCUUGUGCUCCUCACCUUAGCUUCUCCAGAGCUGCUGUGAGGGACUGCAGGACUAUGCAUCUGCUGGUGUGGACAAUACUCAGGGGGAAUUCGGUGCUGAUAGAAGCUUAACCUUAUGUACCCAGUGAUGGUCACUGAAACAAUGCUGCUUGUGAAAGAAAUCAUGAUGUUAUACUAAAUCUAUGAAAGUGUCAGCUGUGUCAGUGCCCAAAAAGGAAAAGAAAGUGAGUUUAGAUGGGAUUGGAAAAGGAACAGAGAUGAAAACACAAAUUUUCACUUUUGCCCUAAAAGUGAACAUGUGCAGCUCUCAUCUCUCCCACUCCAGAACUGUUUUAGUAGAGUUAGAAUGGAAUAGAGAAAAUCAGCAUUGAGGAUAUGGAUUAACUUCAACAGACGGAAAUACUGAAGAAGAAAUUUUCAGAGUGGGUUUGACUAUGUGAAGGUGGGUAGUAAAAUUAUAAGUAGUGUAAAGAAAGUGAACAUGACUAGUAGAAGAACUGGGAGGAUGUCCCAGAAAUCAAGUUGGGUGCUUACAGGGAAACUGGGUAACUAAUUGCUACAGGAUGUUUUGGAUACCAAAAUAUUACUUGGCUGAAAAAAAAAAUAAAAAGACCAGAUAUAUUCACAAAGAGAAGUACAUCCAGGGCUCUUAAAGAUGGCACUUGUCACUGGUAGUCCCUGAGUCCUAGAUUGGUGGAUGAUCAGCAUUCGUACCAGAGAUGUAUUAGCACAUGUAUAUCCCCUUAGGCUCUUCUCAGAGCUUCGGCUGCUAGCUGUGGUUGGAGACAGGCUACAGGGACUUUUUUCUAGCCUAGUACAGCCAUUCUUAGAAUUUUAGAGCAAGAAUUUCUGCUAUGAACCAAAAAGGGAGGAGAAAAAAGGAGCUGGGAAAGGAAGAGAAUGGUAAUCUCUCUCUGUCUGCAUCCCAUCUAUAGGUCAUCAGCAGUGAAAAAGAUAUUCCUCUAUCUUUGGCUGCCCUCAGAGCAAGAAAGUAGUGAGAAGAUCAAACAGCUGCACAUCUUGUGGCCUUAAAUACAUUAUCUGAUACUUGUCAUAAGAUUUCUUUAACUGAAAUAAUUUUUAAUGCUUUGGUUUACAGUACAGCCCCGAACCACCACGGCAAGUAAAAGUGCAGUAAAUUAUAGAAAGGAGACAAGGUUGAAUAAACUGUGAUGUGAAACUGUUCUUAUUUGUAAACUGAAAGCAAAAUCAUUCUGCUCUUCUGCAUAACUGAAGUAAGGAAAAAGAUGUUAAAACUGUGCUUAGCUUAAAUAUUUUGGGAUGUGGUCACUUCAAAUUAAAGCAGACAGGUAAAAUAAGAAAUGGGUCAACAGAAAGCGAUCGUAAGGAGGGAUUAAGAGAUAUGAUUUUUGCCUCUUUUCUAGCAGACUGAUUACUACUCUGUCCUGUGCCUAUCUUUGGCAGAUUUAGCACUUUUGUCAUUAUUCUGAGUCAGUAGCAACAGCAGGAAAGAACAGAAAUUUUGCCAGCAUUGUUGUCGAAGCUAAAAUCCUGGACCAUGGAAGAAGUUGCUUUACCCGAGGAAUUAAUGGCCUACAGUUCUAGUUGAACUCAUUAAAUCCAUGUGAAGAUGAAGCCAUCUUCCCAAGGGGCUUUGCAUUUUUAUUUCCUCAGUAAUAAUUUAUAAUUUAUCCUCUUAAGAAUUAUGUAAUGGUUGCUCAGUGUCAACAGCUAUAGCUUUGAAGUGGAGCAUACUGAAUGCAAACUUGAAAAUCAAGAAAAAGUCCACUUCACAAAAUAUUUCCUCAGCAUUCCAGAGUCUGUCUCUUGUACUAUGUCAAAGAAAUUAUUUAAGGCUUCUCUUCUUUCCCUGUGCAGGAGUGCAAGAAGACUAUGACUGCCUGAAGCUGAGAUAGCUUCCAGAGUGCUGCCUGCUCCCAGCAAACCGUGUCUUGCACCUUUCAGUGCCUCACUACUCAUGCCAGGUCACACGAGACAAUCUUACAGCAGAUGUGGCAGGAGGAGCAGCGGGGAAUUAUACAUGUUCUUCUCUAAGUGGCUGGGACAAUGCUACUGAGCUCUUGCUCCCCACAGCAAAGAUAAUAAGCACAACAGUCCCCAGUGCCCGGCAGGCACAGAGCCCAGAAGACUAGACCAGGAGCUCUACUCACCUGCUCAGACCCUGGCAUAUAGAGAAGAUUGUGGAAGUUCUUAUUGCCAGCCCGCAGGAGGGACCACACGGAGCAGGUACGCUUGUAGAUGUUGUGCAUCUCUCGCUCGCAUGGGCUGUUCCCAAGGAAGGUCCCAUAGAGGCAGGAAUAUGUGUGCUGCACCAGCUUCACC